AACAAACGCUGGCGGCGUGCCUAAUACAUGCAAGUCGAACGGGGAAAGCUUUCGGGUGAGUACUAGUGGCGCACGGGUGAGGAACGCGUGGCUAAUCUGCCUUAGAGUGGGGGAUAACUAGUCGAAAGAUUAGCUAAUACCGCAUAAGACCACGAGAGCUGCGGCUUUUGAGGUCAAAGGUUUUUCGCUCUAAGAUGAGUCCGCGUAAGAUUAGCUAGUUGGUGAGGUAACGGCUCACCAAGGCGACGAUCUUUAACUGGUCUGAGAGGAUGAUCAGUCACAGUGGAACUGAGACACGGCCCAGACGCCUACGGGAGGCAGCAGUAGGGAAUAUUGCACAAGGGAGGAGACUCUGAUGCAGCGACGCCGCGUGAGUGAUGAAGGCCUUCGGGUCGUAAAGCUCUGUCGCAGGGGAAUAACACAAUGAAGGUACCCUGUAAGAAAGGAUCGGCUAACUUCGUG
rnacentral:rRNA from 1 species